AAUCAUCUAGGCAUUCGGAAAAACUCCAAUCCUUUUGCCAUUGGACAAACCAAAAAACUCCAUAUACCUUUAGCCAUUAGGUUUGUCUAUCAUACCAUAGAGUAAUUAUUCUCUGUACCCGGAACACCACGUGGCACUGCCAGGUGUUGUACCCAGCCAAUCAUAUAACUAUUGUAAAUGUGUCUAAUUGUGUGGUACAUGAAGACUUUUAAAACAGUAAAUGGUCAUUACAUAGUCAUUUUGUUGUUUCUUCAAUCAAUAAUAACUACACAUUUUAUGAGGCAUAUUAUACGUACUAUAAUUUU
rnacentral:lncRNA from 1 species